rnacentral:rRNA from 1 species
UACGUAGGGGGCUAGCGUUGUCCGGAAUCAUUGGGCGUACAGAGCGUGUAGGCGGCUCGGUAAGUCCGCUGUAAAAGUCAAAGGCUCAACCUUUGAAUGUCAGUGGAUACUGCCGGGCUAGAGUCCGGAAGAGGCGAGUGGAACUCCUGGUGUAGCGGUGGAAUGCGCAGAUAUCAGGAAGAACACCAACGGCGAAGGCAGCUCGCUGGGACGGUACUGACGCUGAGACGCGAAAGCGUGGGGAGCGAACAGG